AUUGAACGCUGGCGGCAUGCUUUACACAUGCAAGUCGGACGGCAGCACAGAGAAGCUUGCUUCUUGGGUGGCGAGUGGCGAACGGGUGAGUAACAUAUCGGAACGUACCGAGCAGUGGGGGAUAACUAAUCGAAAGAUUAGCUAAUACCGCAUAUCUUCUGAGGAAGAAAGCAGGGGACCAUUUGGCCUUGCGCUGUUUGAGCGGCCGAUAUCUGAUUAGCUAGUUGGUGGGGUAAAGGCCUACCAAGGCGACGAUCAGUAGCGGGUCUGAGAGGAUGAUCCGCCACACUGGGACUGAGACACGGCCCAGACUCCUACGGGAGUCAGCAGUGGGGAAUUUUGGACAAUGGGCGCAAGCCUGAUCCAGCCAUGCCGCGUGUCUGAAGAAGGCCUUCGGGUUGUAAAGGACUUUUGUCAGGGAAGAAAAGGGCGGGGUUAAUACCCCUGUCUGAUGACGUACCUGAAGAUAGCCCCG
rnacentral:rRNA from 1 species